UCCAGGCGGGACCCCCUUGCUCACACACCCAAGGCCUCCUUCCUUCCUCCCUCCCCUCCUUCGCCCGCAGGGAGCGAGGAGAGGCACGGACCCGUCGGGAGAGAAAACCCCAGGCCUCUUCUGUAAGAUGGGCAGGAGCCAUGACAGUUCGCAUCAUUUGGAAGCAGCAAGACCUUCCCAUCCCCAUCUUCUCCCAAUAAAACAGAGGGGCCUUUAGAGAGAAGUCGAACUUCAGCCCAAACAGUACACAGACAAUAACGAUAAAUGAGAGCCAUCUAUUCCUCACAGGCUUGGCUGCUAGUGACC
rnacentral:lncRNA from 1 species